rnacentral:sRNA from 1 species
AGAGAUUUAUCUGGAAGGCCAGGAGAAGCAACUCAAGCACAAGGGAUCUGAGGAGGAGCCAGGGAGCACAUUUCCAGUUUAAAGGGGAAAAAUGUCUCCCUGGAGAGCCCCAGGCAGUCCUUGAAAGAGAGGCUUGAAGUCAAGUUUGAGUCUUCUGCAGCUCGGGCACCACCGAGUCACAGUGAGUGUUGGCCUCCGCAAGGCCUGACAGCACAGAGGACAGAGGCACACGUUCUGGCAGUUCCGCCAUGAGAACCCCCAGACCCGGGUUGGGGGCCCGCCCCCCGAGGGGCUGCCGGGCUUCAACAGCGGGGUGAUGUUGCUGAACCUGGAGGCCAUGCGCCAGUCCCCGCUCUACAGCCGCCUGCUGGAGCCGGCGCAGGUGCAGCAGCUGGCCGACAAGUACCACUUCCGCGGCCACCUCGGGGACCAGGACUUCUUCACCAUGAUCGGCAUGGAGCACCCCAAGCUCUUCCAUGUGCUGGACUGUACCUGGAACCGGCAGCUGUGCACCUGGUGGAGGGACCAUGGCUACAGUGACGUCUUCGAGGCCUAUUUCAGGUGUGAGGGCCACGUCAAGAUCUACCACGGGAACUGCAACACUCCCAUCCCGGAGGACUAGGCGCACCCCCUGCCUUGCCCCCGGGGCCUCCAGAUCUGGGGGAAGGACAGGGCUCCUUGGGACAGACCCAAGGGCAGUGUCUGACCCGCUAGAGAGACACCGCAGGGAAGUCCUGUGAUUAA